AUUGAACGCUGGCGGCAGGCCUAACACAUGCAAGUCGAACGAGGGGCGGAGGGGUGAGUAAUGUCUGGGAAACUGCCUGAGGGAGGGGGAUAACUACUGGAAACGGUAGAUAAUACCGCAUCACCACGGAUGUGCCCAGAUGGGAUUAGCUAGUGGGUGGGGUAAAGGCUCACCUAGGCGACGAUCCCUAGGUGGUCUGAGAGGAUGAACAGCCACACUGGAACUGAGACACGGUCCAGACUCCUACGGGAGGCAGCAGUGGGGAAUAUUGCACAAUGGGCGCAAGCCUGAUGCAGCCAUGCCGCGUGUAUGAAGAAGGCCUUCGGGUUGUAAAGUACUUUCAGCGGGGAGGCGUUACCCGCAGAAGAAGCACCGGCUAACUCCGUGCCAGCAGCCGCGGUAAUUC
rnacentral:rRNA from 1 species